UGGGGAAUAUUGGACAAUGGGGGAAACCCUGAUCCAGCGAUGCCGCGUGGGUGAAGAAGGCCUUCGGGUUGUAAAGCCCUUUAGGUUGGGAAGAAGUUUAUGUGGUUAAUACCCAUGUAGAUUGACGGUACCGACAGAAUAAGCACCGGCAAACUCUGUGCCAGCAGCCGCGGUAAUACAGAGGGUGCGAGCGUUAAUCGGAAUUACUGGGCGUAAAGGGCGCGUAGGUGGUGAUGUUUGUGUGAUGUGAAAGCCCUGGGCUUAACCUAGGAAGUGCAUCGCAAACGGCAUUACUGGAGUAUAAGAGAGGGUGGUGGAAUUUCCGGUGUAGCGGUGAAAUGCGUAGAUAUCGGAAGGAACGUCAAUGGCGAAGGCAGCCACCUGGCUUAAUACUGACACUGAGGCGCGAAAGCGUGGGGAUCAAACAGG
rnacentral:rRNA from 1 species